AAAUUGAAGAGUUUGAUCAUGGCUCAGAUUGAACGCUGGCGGCAGGCCUAACACAUGCAAGUCGAACGGUAACAGGAAGCAGCUUGCUGCUUUGCUGACGAGUGGCGGACGGGUGAGUAAUGUCUGGGAAACUGCCUGAUGGAGGGGGAUAACUACUGGAAACGGUAGCUAAUACCGCAUAACGUCGCAAGACCAAAGAGGGGGACCUUCGGGCCUCUUGCCAUCGGAUGUGCCCAGAUGGGAUUAGCUAGUAGGUGGGGUAACGGCUCACCUAGGCAACGAUCCCUAGCUGGUCUGAGAGGAUGACCAGCCACACUGGAACUGAGACACGGUCCAGACUCCUACGGGAGGCAGCAGUGGGGAAUAUUGCACAAUGGGCGCAAGCCUGAUGCAGCCAUGCCGCGUGUAUGAAGAAGGCCUUCGGGUUGUAAAGUACUUUCAGCGGGGAGGAAGGGAGUAAAGUUAAUACCUUU
rnacentral:rRNA from 1 species